GAAACGCGAUAUGUAAUGCGAAUUGCAGAAUUCAGUGAAUCAUCAAAUCUUUGAACGCAAGUUGCACUCUUGGGUAUUCCUGAGAGCAUGCCUCUUUGAGUAUCGUCAUUUUUAUAUUCUCAUCAUUUAUUAUGAAUAAAUAGAUUGAGAGAGAAAACUGGAGUGGGGUCAUUCAGACCAUCUCUCUAUAGAUAUUGAAAGAGGGACAUAUAAGAGUGAUUGUGGACUAUAUUGAUGUUUUGAUCAACAAUUCAUUAAUUACACAAAUCAUUCAAUUCUCCCCAUUGAAAAUGAUCUCAAAUGAGGUAAGAGGACCCGCUGAACUUAA
rnacentral:misc_RNA from 1 species